UUUUGCCCAGGCUUGCCUCAGUUUUCUUGGAGCUGUGUUUUACUUAAGCACCAUAAUCUUCUUGUUGAAGGCCUCUGAAUGGUGGCAACUCACAAUGUGCUUUCACCCCCCCACCCCAGACUCGAACUGCUGGACUCAGAGCCAUAGCUACCAUGAGAGGAGGAAGAGAUGGAUCACCAGGCCAGGAGAAUUGAAGAUAGAAGACACUUUUGCUGGAAGCGGAAGCAAGCAGUGCAAAAUUUGUCUUUCAGAAUGGAAUUUCCUGCACGGAGCAAGUUGCUUUCUCAGGGCGUUAUUUCCUUCCUACUAGAGAGGAGAUGUGUAAGACAUCGUCUCAUACCAUUCCAUACUGUCCUGUAGUCUAUCACUACAGUUUUCAAGCAACCCCAGUAUUUCACUAUGUUUACAAUCACAAGGCAAUUUUGGGGUGGGCAGCUGCCAUUGUCUUCAUGGUAAUGAAGGUCUUGGGGGCUGUAAGUUCAGAAAGUCAAAGAGUAGCACAUGCAUAGGAGUGUCCCGAAUUGAAUUUAUAUAAUCAAAUCCAAGCUAUCCUUUGCUUUUUAAGAUAUACAUUGUUAAUUUUAAUAGUAAAAGUCAAGACAAAAGACAAUUAUUCAGUUUUCAUACUAUUAUGAUCUUGUUCUUUCUGGAAUUCAUAUUCAUUAAAGACUACAGAUGGACACCAAGAAAAUAUCCAAGGAUGAGUGGGAAAAAUAGUAAGGAGUAGUCCUUUUGGUGGUUUUUCUUCAUGCACUUGAUUAUUUUUGAAAUAUAUUUCAACAAUUCUGGUUGCUCCUCCAUUUAUCUGAACAGUCAGAAUUUGAAAUUCCUGUUUGCUCUGUUUGUUAAUUCCCAAACUUGGCUAGAGAACUUCCUGUCUGCGAGCAUAAUAACUAUACUGCAGUUACUUUUGUUAGUGCUUCAAGAAGGGAAGUGCUGCAUGAUGUUCAGGAACAUGGAAGUUGCCUUCAUGAAGCACUUGCUAAGUAAUUCAGUCGAGUAGACCAUCUACUCUGUGAUGAUAAACUGGAUAUUGUAAUCAUUCAUUUAUUAAUUAAGGAUGUUAUCAAUGAGAAGAAAAAAACACACUGUUUUUCAUGAUUUAAAAAAAACACCAAAUUUGAAUACCUUGAAAAUGUGCAUGUGUAUAGAAAUAACUUCCCUUACAUAUGCAGUCAUCUUUUCUGAAGAUAUUCAAUGCUCUUCUUAUUUUGAAGAAUCUAAUGAGGUGUAAAAACUAUAUUCCAACUGGAGAUUGAAUUGUAAACUAUUAGACAAUUGUAAACCAUUGGACGAUUAAAGUCCAAGCACAACUUCUUAUUUGAAUAUAGAAGUAAUUUACUGUAUAUGCAAACACUGUAACAGAAUUUGGAAGAAAAAGCUUUGCCAUGUAUUUUGCUAUCCAGAUACAUGCAUAGCCCUUCAGAAGGGCUGUGAGCAGUUUAUACUUACUGAUGCAUUAUAUUUAGAAACCACAAAGUAAGAAGUACAGUUAGAAAACAGG
ensembl:lncRNA